rnacentral:misc_RNA from 1 species
GCGAGCAGACAGAAGAUGAGUGUCAUGUUGCAUGGUUGUUAGCUGUCUGUUGCGAUAACACGCAGUAAUUGAAACGUCUGUUCUCAAGUAAACAAUUGGGUUUUUAGCACUAGUGAUUUGCUUCAUAUUACUAAGAUCUCGUAUUUGAGUGUGCUGUGUUUUUGUUUGAAGAUGCAACGCUUGAGUCAACUUCAACCGUUUUGCUAAAAUGUUUUAAUAAAAGCAUCAGUGGAACGAAAAUGUGUAAAAUUCAAUAUUAUAUACGAAAUGCAGCCCAGUUCCAAACUUUUAGACGGGUGUAGUGACAAUGUGUUUCCAACAUAAUGUAUUUCUCAGUUUUCUGGUUGGUGUUGUUUGUGGUUUGGGAAACCAAGGCCUUUCAGGAAUCCAAAGCUGUCACUGAUGUGAUGGAUAAGCAGGAUGGCCAUGUACUUGAACAGACAUCCAGCAUGAGUAAGGGAAAUGAUCUUACCACCAGUGCUUCACCUAUGAUAUCCAAACAUGAAGAAAUUAUAUACCAAAAAUUUGAUACAGCAGAAUACAAACCAAGUAUGGAAAUUUUAGCUGUUGGAUUUCUAUAUGAUAAUGAAACCACGACACUCCGCGUGUCUGUCUAUGUGGGUAUUCCGGAAAUCAACGGCGAAACCUACAGCGCGCCCACAUUUAGAAAGCAAUCCUUAUCCGCCACAUCGCCUCCGUCAAACCCAAUGGUGGAGAAGUUCACCAAUUUCGAAUUUUAUUUGACAGCCUUACCGAACGGAAUUUCAUCGGAACCACCGUCAAACUGUUUAAAUGACAAUUUUUUACAACAUUCAAGUCGAAAUGUUAUGGUUGGCUGCCCUCUUACUAGGGGCCCGUCUCGGUACGAAAAACACAAUGUCGAUGACAAUCAGACUUCCUGCGUUGGCAGAGACGUGAGGAAUUUUACAGUUACCUUUAACCAUGUCUAUUCUGCAUACUACUGCCUUCUGAUUCAGCCUCAAGUGAAUAGGCAUACGCGCAGAACGUUCACUCGCAUGUUACACUAUGAAACGAAUAAAAGACAAGCAUCCGCUGACAUAACCAAAUGGCAGACCACGAUAGACUUGCAGCCAAUGCCUAGCAGUCAGGGUAUUUCGGUGGCCUUUACUUUACCCAACUCUACCUACCAAAUAAUGAGUGACCAACUCCGCGUGUAUUUAAUGCAAGUAUCUGGAGAAAGAUGUAACGACAGCAAACUAGUCCAAAGCGUUUGGUCGGAAAUCUUGAAAAUGGAACCUGAGAAACAAUUCGCAGAAAUAGCUUUUUUGGAAAACCUCCUGGUAUUUACUGCGUUGUCGUGGAGCCAAUAGAUGAAAGGUGCAAUGGUAACAACGUCUGGAAAGUCAAAGGAGGAACAUGCCGCCGGCACUCUGCAAAAGCCGUGAAGCUCCAAGCUUCGCCAUUGCACAUGGAAAGCAACGGAAAUAAUAAGCCGUUGGUCAUCGUUAGAACACCAACGACUGACGUCUGGGCCAGCUUCUACAUUAUCUGUGCUUUCGCCGUCGGUCUAGUACUCAUCUCUUUGCUCGGUAU